GGUCCUAAAGUAGAUAAAACCUAAGUUGCAAUUCCGGUUUUCCUCAAAAUCUAAGACAUGUCACAAAAUAAUUUACUGCCUUUGUUGAUCUCGCUCCUGUAACAAGCUUCCUGCCUCACGUAUCUCCCGCCUUAAAGAGUUUAAAAGGCAAUCACCCAAAACCAACCGUGGCUACCCAUUCAAGACUGUUUCCACACUGUGGAAGCUUUGUACUUUCACUCUGCUCAAUAAAGCCUGCAGCUUUUUCUCACUCUCAGUCCAUGUCUCUUUCACUCACUGUGGUCAGCUUCCACACCAUUUCUUUGGUGUGGCUUGGCAAGAACCUCAGGUGUUACAUCUUGGCGAGCCAGACAGGAGACUCCAGAAAAGGGGUGAUUUUCCUGUACCAGUCCAAUGCCUCCAGAGGAAGAUCAUACAUUUGCCAUUUUACUGCUUAGUACGCAUGCUUGAGCCUGCUCGCCCAACUGCUGAGAUCUUAUUCAGAAACUGCUGAUCACCAACUCCAGUGAAGGUCACUGGAAUAGGUUCAUUACACUCAAGCAAAGGCCUGGGGAAAUGAUAGAAUUACCUCUGUUGACCCAGAAGAGCACCAAAAGCACCAGUGUGCAGAAAUCAGAGACCUCAAGCUAAAAGUCAUAAAAGGACAAGAACCUGGAAGUCGUCGAACUGUGGAAGCAAAAGACCUGUAAUGCUCCUGCUUGCCGAGCUGUGAGCAGUGGUAGUAAAAGAGCAGUAACAUUCUCUCCUGCUUGCCAAACAGGAGAGAAGCCACUGGCACCACUCCCUCCCACUCACUGAACUAUAGAAGAGAAAAAAUUGAAACACCAAAAUUGGGGAAAUGCGACUUUUGCGAAAAUUUGAAAGUGCAUGCUUCACAGAAGGAAGGGGGAGCUGGUCUAUUAUGUCUCACUAUAACAAGACUAAAAUUUUGCAAAUAAAUUGUUCCUGCCAUAAUUUAUCCUUGGUAGAAAUGAAGAAAUUGGAGAGAGAAAAAAUUGGAUUCUAGGUCCUGACCAUUGUUUUUGAAUUUUUAUUAUUUUCCUACAAUUUAGGCUAAAUUCUGAACUAUUUGCUGGCUACAAGAGGCCUCUAAAAAAGAGCUGGGUUUUAGUUUUCUUCAUGCUCUUUAAAAACUGGCAUAUAAUGGUGUGUAUCUCUCGUUGUUUUACUUCUAAGAAACUGAAGGCAUGAUAUUCUGAAGACUAGAGGUGAUUCAAUAGCCUAUGAAUCUUCUUCAUUUGGAACCCCACUGGGCCUGAUCUGUUUCCCAUCACCAAUGCACUUCUGCUAAACCUAUAUCCUAUCAAGUACUCUCCCUAAAUGCUCAGAGACCAUAACAGAAGAUGAGGGUGUGUGAGAUUAUAAAAGCCAAAUUAGUGGAGUGGAAUCUGGAGGCUAAAGCAACUCCAUCUUGGAUGCUAAUCUGCCAUGUUGGCUUCUGAUUAACCCCAGUUCUGGAGGGCCUCUGAGGUUUCCAAUUUAUCUACUGUCCCUUGUGUAAGAACAAGUACUUAUCAUAAAUCCUGCUAUUAGGGCAAAUUUCUACCCAUUCCCUCUGAAGCAUGUGCACCUCUCCUCUACAUGUAAUCUCCCCUACAAUAGAUAAACCCCUCUGGGUCUGGGGGCUAAUAGUGUGGGAACCCAUCAUCUUGCCUCACUGCUGCACAAGCCACAGGUGUGGCUUCUGUUUCUAAGUCCCUAUUAAAUGUUUCUAGAUACCAGAUGUAUCAACCUCUUUCUUCAGCCUCUCAGCUUCCUGGGACUUUGGGGUUGGUUUGCAUAGACCUACCCACCAAAAAACUCUCACAGAGUCAGUCUUAAAUACAUACAGAGCACGGUUGGGAAAAUUCCAUGAAUAUUUAUAGGGGAAGUCAUGUGCUUGAAAAUUGGAUAAACUUGUAUGUAACAUACAUUCCAUUUUGACCUGGGGGUGAGGUUUCAGCUGGGAUUCGACUGUUUAUGUCAAAAGGUAAACUCUAGGGCAAAAAGAAUUUGGACAUAGUCUCUGCAAGCUGACUGAAACUGGCUUAAGAUCUAUGGUCACUUAUCAAUAAAGAAUGUGAUAAAAACGGUCUUUGUCCAAUCAGAGUGCUGGCAGGACCACAAGGCAAGG
rnacentral:lncRNA from 10 species